CCCGAACGUCAGUGACCCAACCGUGGAGAAACUCGUUUCUCCGGAGGGAGCUGCCGAAGGCAGGUCUGAUAACUGGGGUGAAGUCGUAACAAGGUAGC
rnacentral:rRNA from 1 species